CCUGCCUCGUUGGCAACCUGGGGGAGGGCGGAGAAGAGGUGCUAGUUCCUUCCAGAGGAGGCGAGGGGGGCGGGCCUCAAGGCGCUCCGAGCUCUCAGCGUCGGGCAGGGGAACCAGGCGCCACCUAGUGUGGGACGGUGCGUGUCGUCCAGUUCCUUUUGGGCUAAGUCAGUCGUCUUGUGGCCUCUAGGGCGACGGGAAGCUCCGCCGCGGAGCCUGCUGGGAAAAAUUAUUUUUCGUUCUAAUGGUGAAAUGAAACGAAUAACAAUGAUGCUCAGAAAAGAAGCGCAGCUAGUGAAAAUUUUCUUUUGCUAAAGUCCACAGUAACGAUCCCAAUUAAAAAACGACAGCACUCUAAGGAAAACUAAUGGGUUAAUACUUUUCACUUGCAUCAGUGUAUUUUUUUUAAAACGUAAGAAACAUACCUAUGCAUUUGUGUUAAAGUGCAGUAAUGGUCUGGUGUUUUUAAGCCUUAAUGUCUGCAAAUUUGCAAUCACUUUGUCAAAAUUGCUCCUCGUUGUGGGUUGAAUUGUGUGUUCCCCCACCGUCCAAGAAAGAUAUAUUAAACCCUAACCCUUCCCAACCUCCACCCUCAGAAUAUGACCUUAUUUGGGAAGGGGAUUAUUGCAGUUGCAAUUAAUUAAGAUGAAGUCAUACUGGAGUAGGGUGGGCAUCUAAUCCAAACGACUGGCGUCUUCAUAGAACACAAGUGCAGAGACAGGCACAGAGUGAAGACAACGUUGUGCAGACUAGAGACAGGCACGGGGAGAAUGCUACGUGACCAAGAAGUCAGCGAUCCCAGUUGGGCAGUUGCAAGCCAAGGAUUGCCAAGGAUUUCUGACAAACACCUGAAACUAAAAGAAGGGCAUGGAACAAAAAUUUCCCUAGAUCCUUAAAAGAAUUCAUGGCCCAACUGUUACAUUGAUUUUGGACUUCCAGCCUUCAAGAUUAUGAGCCAAUAAAUUUGUUUUAAGGUGC